rnacentral:rRNA from 1 species
AUGUCCAACCACUCCGGCUGCUACUCCGCGUCCGACGGCGCCCACGAGCUGACGAUGGUCGCUCGCCAAAUGGUCAGCGACGGUUACACCCAGCUCACGGUGACUGCAUUCGACAUGGCAUCUCCGGCCCCAGCAUCUGGAUACGGCAGCGGCCCGGACCGUGAGCUGGACAAGCUUCUCAAGAGUUGGUUCUUCCAGCUUGACGUGGACUGGAUUCUCGAAAUCUGCAAUCACAGGUCAGUCUUAUGCCCCCACAAGGGCCGCAACUUCGUAAAGAGCUGGAUUCGAGCUGUCAUGGUAAUUGUAGCGAGUAUCAAGGAGCUGCUCGCCAUUGCCCACGAGACGAGCGCGGUCGCACGGUUUGGCAAUGCGAGCAUUUCAGCAAUGCUCGUCUUUGUUGAUGACAUCGUCCAAGUUUACAAGCCGGGGAAUCCACUGGCCGUGCUAGACAUGUACAUCUGCGUCUCCAGUGCGUCACGUGACGUGCUUACGGUGCAUGUGAUCUCUUCGGAAGCUCAAAGCAUAUUCGGUGAGAUAGCCAACUCAUUUGACAGGGAAGGAAGCAUGUUAAUCGAGUCCAUAUUCGGCACGAUAAUGCAGAUGCAUCAAACACUCAUGAAGGACGAUGAAGAAUGGGCUGUCCACAUUCUGCGGGGAGGAGGCGAGGUUCAAAUGAACAUUCGAUUUUUGGUAAGUUACAUAUUAUUGUUGAGGAAAGCCAAGGCUUCGACAGAGAACUGCGCACCGAGCCACAACACCGAAAAGCUCUGUGACCUGAUACAAGACACGACCGAUUAUCUGAAGGAUCUGCUUCUGAAUAAAUCGGAGUUAUGCUCAGAUCCAAGCCUCAGGUACAUGUUCCUGCUCAACAAUUCCUAUUUCAUAGCACAGAUGUUGGAGCCAUCGGCAGCGUUAAACCUUGAGCUGCAGUUUGGGCGCCACCGUGAGCAUAAACUUACACCUGAAUGUGAGAAACAUAUGGAUGGCUAUUUGGAUGCUUCCUGGGGUCAUGUGCUGUCCUACAUACCGAGAUCGAAAUUUCCCGGACUUCUCCAACGCUGGAUGAGGAACAACACCUCUGCACGCACCCCACUGGGUCAAUUCAAGUCAGCGUUUUAUAAAACAUACCGGGCUCAGAAGUUCUGGAAGGUUCCAGAUCCUCAACUCAGAGAUGCGCUGCGGAAAACUAUUGCUGAGAGAGUUGUUUCAGGCUACCGCGUCUACUUGAAGGAGCAUCCGGAGCUAGAGGAAUACGCCUGUCACGGAGACAGUAGUCCCGACGAAUUGGAGGAGAUGUUAGCACAGCUAUUUGAAGGAUGA